GAAACAGUUGCUAAGACUGGAUAGGAAAUUAAGAGGCAUCUUUUAAUUUUUAAAAGACCUUUUUCGAAAGGUAUGCUUAAAGAGGGGCUUGCGCCACAUUAGUUAGUUGGUAAGGUAAAGGCUUACCAAGACGAUGAUGUGUAGCUGGACUGAGAGGUCGAACAGCCACAUUGGGACUGAGACACGGCCCAAACUCCUACGGGAGGCAGCAGUAAGGAAUUUUUGGCAAUGGAGGAAACUCUGACCGAGCGACGCCGCGUGAACAAUGAAGUACUUCGGUAUGUAAAGUUCUUUUAUUGAAAAAGAAAAAAUAGUGGAAAAACUAUCUUGACAUUAUUCAAUGAAUAAGCCCCGGCUAAUUAUGUGCCAGCAGCCGCGGUAAUACAUAAGGGGCGAGCGUUAUCCGGAAUUAUUGGGCGUAAAGGGUGCGUAGGCGGUUUGAUAAGUCUAUAGUUUAAAUGCAGUGCUUAACGCUGUAGCGCUAUAGAAACUGUCUGACUAGAGUUAGAUAGAGGCAAGCGGAAUUCCAUGUGUAGCGGUAAAAUGCGUAAAUAUAUGGAGGAACACCAGAGGCGUAGGCGGCUUGCUGGGUCUUAACUGACGCUGAGGCACGAAAGCGUGGGGAGCAAACAGGAUUAGAUACCCUGGUAGUCCACGCCGUAAACGAUGAGUACUAAGUGUCGGGUUUCGGCUCGGUACUGAAGUUAACACAUUAAGUACUCCGCCUGAGUAGUACGUACGCAAGUAUGAAACUUAAAGGAAUUGACGGGACCCCGCACAAGCGGUGGAUCAUGUUGUUUAAUUCGAAGAUACACGAAAAACCUUACCAGGUCUUGACAUAAUUUUGCGACAUUAUAGAAAUAUAAUGAAGGUUAUCAGAAUUACAGGUGGUGCAUGGUUGUCGUCAGCUCGUGUCGUGAGAUGUUAGGUUAAGUCCUAAAACGAGCGCAACCCUUGUCGUUAGUUGCGACCACGUAAUGGUGAGCACUUUAGCGAGACUGCCAAUGAAAAAUUGGAGGAAGGUGAGGAUUACGUCAAAUCAUCAUGCCCCUUAUGAUCUGGGCUACAAACGUGAUACAAUGGCUGUUACAAAGAGUAGCUACAACGUGAGUUUUUAGCCAAUCUCAAAAAAACAGUCUCAGUUCGGAUUGAAGUCUGCAACUCGACUUCAUGAAGUUGGAAUCGCUAGUAAUCGCGAAUCAGCAUGUCGCGGUGAAUACGUUCUCGGGGUUUGUACACACCGCCCGUCA
rnacentral:rRNA from 12 species